rnacentral:ncRNA from 1 species
CUAAUAUAUGUAUGAGUCAGAGGGUCACAUGAAAGUCACUGCGGUGCAAUGAAGGUGAGUGUCAGCCUUAUUCACUGACUGAGAUGGGAUCCCCAGGCCUCUCCAGUCCACUGAGGGCACACCAAUGUCCUGUCUCACCUGCUGCACAGGAGAGGUGGAGCAUGAGAGCACGAGUUAGGACCCAAAAGAUGGUGAACUAUGCCUGGGCAGGGUGAAGCCAGAAGAAACUGUGAUGUAGGUCCAUAGAAGUUCAGACAUGCAAACUGGUUGUCUGACCUAGGUGUAAGGGCGAAAGACUAAUCGAACCAUCUAGUAGCUGG